rnacentral:pre_miRNA from 1 species
GUACUACUCUCUCCAUUCCGAAUUACUUGUCACAAAAAUGGAUGUAUCUACAACUAAAAUAUAUUUAGAUACAUUCAUUUCUUGGACGAGUAAUUCCGAACGGAGGGAGUACAUA